GAUGAAGAACGCAGCGAAAUGCGAUACCCCCCCCGCCUCCCACCACCCCCCCCCCCCCCCCCCCCCCCCCCCCACAUUGCGCCCCCCAGUAUUCUGGCGGGCAUGCCUGUUCGAGCGUCAUUUCAACCAUCAAGCCCUGCUUGUGUUGGGGUCCUGCGGCUGCCCGCAGGCCCUGAAAACCAGUGGCGGGCUCGCUAGUCACACCGAGCGCAGUAGCACAUCUCGCUCAGGGCGUGCGGCGGGCUCCAGCCGUUAAAGCACCCACCUUUCGCAAGGUUGACCUCGGAUCAGGUAGGAAUACCCGCUGAACUUAAGCAUAUCAAUAAGCGGAGGA
rnacentral:misc_RNA from 1 species